rnacentral:rRNA from 1 species
GCAUAUCAAUAAGCGGAGGAAAAGAAACCAACAGGGAUUGCCCUAGUAACGGCGAGUGAAGCGGCAACAGCUCAAAUUUGAAAUCUGGCGUCUUCGGCGUCCGAGUUGUAAUUUGCAGAGGGCGCUUUGGCAUUGGCAGCGGUCCAAGUUCCUUGGAACAGGACGUCACAGAGGGUGAGAAUCCCGUACGUGGUCGCUAGCCUUUGCCGUGUAAAGCCCCUUCGACGAGUCGAGUUGUUUGGGAAUGCAGCUCUAAAUGGGAGGUAAAUUUCUUCUAAAGCUAAAUACUGGCCAGAGACCGAUAGCGCACAAGUAGAGUGAUCGAAAGAUGAAAAGCACUUUGGAAAGAGAGUUAAAAAGCACGUGAAAUUGUUGAAAGGGAAGCGCUUGCAGCCAGACUUGCCUGUAGUUGCUCAUCCGGGUUUUUACCCGGUGCACUCUUCUAUAGGCAGGCCAGCAUCAGUUUGGGCGGUUGGAUAAAGGUCUCUGUCAUGUACCUCUCUUCGGGGAGAACUUAUAGGGGAGACGACAUGCAACCAGCCUGGACUGAGGUCCGCGCAUCUGCUAGGAUG